rnacentral:rRNA from 1 species
GAUGAACGCUGGCGGCGUGCCUAAUACAUGCAAGUCGAGCGAACAGACGAGGAGCUUGCUCCUCUGACGUUAGCGGCGGACGGGUGAGUAACACGUGGAUAACCUACCUAUAAGACUGGGAUAACUUCGGGAAACCGGAGCUAAUACCGGAUAAUAUAUUGAACCGCAUGGUUCAAUAGUGAAAGACGGUUUUGCUGUCCCUUAUAGAUGGAUCCGCGCCGCAUUAGCUAGUUGGUAAGGUAACGGCUUACCAAGGCAACGAUGCGUAGCCGACCUGAGAGGGUGAUCGGCCACACUGGAACGGAGACACGGUCCAGACUCCUACGGGAGGCAGCAGUAGGGAAUCUUCCGCAAUGGGCGAAAGCCUGACGGAGCAACGCCGCGUGAGUGAUGAAGGUCUUCGGAUCGUAAAACUCUGUUAUUAGGGAAGAACAAAUGUGUAAGUAACUAUGCACGUCUUGACGGUACCUAAUCAGAAAGCCACGGCUAACUACGUG